GCGGAAGUGGCGAAAUUGGUAGACGCACCAGAUUUAGGUUCUGGCGCCGCGAGGCGUAAGAGUUCAAGUCUCUUCUUCCGCACGA
rnacentral:tRNA from 1 species